UCUGCACGCCCAGAGGUUCCGGCACAAAUUAAGCACUGAUAAUAGGUAACGUUAGUGUUACUUGUAGUGUAUGCAAUCUGUUACUUUUACCCUGCGGUAAACAGUGAUUGCCCGUUCUUCUCUAGCAAUGUGUAUGCGAGUGUGAGGUGUAUCUUCUGGACCUCUGCACCUGAGACCCCCCUAAGGAAGAUCCUGGUUGCGCCCCUGAAUCAGACGCCUUUAUCCAGGGUUGGGUUUUCUACUGGAGCAAUCGAGGUAAAGUACCUUGCUCAAGGGUACAGCAGCAGUGCCCCCAUCUGGGAUUGAACUCACGACCGGUCAAGAGUCCAGAGCCCUGAGCCCUAACCACUACUCCACACUGCUGCCCAGAGGGCGGAGCACAUGGAGGUUAAGUGACUUGCUCAGAGUCACACAGCGAGUCAAUUAGUGGCAGGAGGUGCGAUUUGAACCGGAGAUCUUCUAGUUACAAGCCCUGGACGUUAACCACUGGACCACACUGCCUCCUUAAACUGGUGGAAUAGCAGUUUCUAUUAAACUGUAUAUAUUGUAAUGACCCAGGACUAUAUUGUUGCAGGACUGGUCUACGGACCCUGUUUGUUUGUGUGUGUGUGUGUGUGUGUUAGCAGGCUAUCUACAGGCGGCAAGCUUGCCUCAGCCGGGAUUGGUGGGUGCCAUCUGGGGAGAUGAGGACAUGAAAGCAUA